UUCCUAUCCCGCUCGUAGCGCCAGGGCUCAGCUCCGCUUCUUGGCCCCCUUCCUCUCCAAUCGACCCCUUCCGCUCCAAUCCUUGGCGGCGGCGGCGGCGUGAGGCUUCGCGGCGUAGCGGCGAGCGAGGAGCUGGUGGAGCGAGAGAAGAGUGGCCUCGACGCCUCCCACGACACCGCCCAUUCCUACCGCGUUCGCGACCUCGCAGUCCCCUUCCGCUCCAAUUCUCGGCGGCGGCGGCGGAUGAGAAGCCCGAGGCGUUGCAGUGAGUGGAGGAGCCGGUGGAGCGGGAGAUGAGCGGCCUCGACGCCGCCCACUCCCACUGCUUCCGCGACCUCCCGGUCUCCCUCGCUGCCGAGGAGGUCCUCUCCGCCCCUGGCCGCCUCUCCGUAAGGAGAUUACUUGUUUGGCAUGAAGGGGUAAACUUUGGAAUUGUCAGGGAAAAUUGCAACAAAUUGUACAAGCAAAUGGACCAUGCGUCUGCUCUUUCUUUUACUGCCCUGUUCAGGAGAUGAAUCUCAGCUAGCAUCUCCAUAGUUUCCUCUGAUAGUUCAUCGCUGAACAAGCUUCUCUUGGCAAGGAUAUCCAGAAGUGUUUUAGUAAGAGAGCACCACUUAUGCUUACUAGAGAACAACAAGAGGUAUUUGAACCGUGGAGUUGAGAAUUGAACCAAAUCCAAAUCAGAAGAACAUGCAGAAGCUCUCUGAAAGAGCCAGCGAAGGUCAUUAAGGAAGUGCAGAACUUGAUCCCUUAUCCCUUGGCUCUGAAGAGACGUCAACAAACUGUGAAUCCUCAAGCUCAACUUCAAGGUUUCUCAACACCUGACAAACAUGUGAACUCGCAAUGAUAACAGGGAAACUGUUUCCCCUGAACCUGUUCUCCACCUGUAAAGAUCAGGUUCUCCUGGCAAGUCAAAGGUCUCAACACCUGAAUCAUCAUAUAUGGUACCUGGAUCCUGCAUUGAUGAAAAGUUCACAAGAAAUAUUUAAGAUAGCUAUCACACAGUAUAAUGUAUGGAUGUAAUAGUUGUUCACGAAAAUAAUGUAAAAUGUGAUUUUCUCUGAAAUAUAUAUAUGGAUGUUUUGAAAUCUGCAGUGGAAUGGAUGUCUUAAUAA